rnacentral:rRNA from 1 species
UACGUAGGGUGCGAGCGUUGUCCGGAAUUAUUGGGCGUAAAGGGCUCGUAGGCGGUUUGUCGCGUCGGGAGUGAAAACCCAGGGCUUAACUCUGGGCUGGCUUUCGAUACGGGCAGACUAGAGGUAUGCAGGGGAGAACGGAAUUCCUGGUGUAGCGGUGAAAUGCGCAGAUAUCAGGAGGAACACCGGUGGCGAAGGCGGUUCUCUGGGCAUUACCUGACGCUGAGAAGCGAAAGCAUGGGGAGCGAACAGG